GAGACGCCUCUAAAGGUCGCAGGACAACGGCCCUUGAGGACUGGGGUGUGAGACCCCUGGUAAACUCGUAUUAUGGUUAAAACAAAGACGUCUCUGGCAGGUCUUCUUCUUCUUGAGUUUGUUGGUGGUUGGCAAACAUCUUAUCGGUGUUCAUUACCGCCAUCACCUGAAUGUCCACCAGGUCAAAUGUAACUUUCUACUCAGUAAGCUUUCGAACCAAGUUCUUUCUUUCUUCUUCAUAACUCUUGCAACACAUCACUACAUGUUCUACUGAUUCUUCUUGUCCACAAUAUUCACAUCUAUAUGUGAAGUAUGUUUUCCUAUUUUGAAUAGUGUGUC